CAGAGACACAAAGAUCUCAGUGUUGAGCUGUUCAUCUGCAGUAUGUCAGAGAAGAGAGGAAAGAUGAGUCUCUCACACAAACAGAGGGAUGACGAGAGCUUGUGGAGAGAACUGGACUCAUUGAAACAGAAAUAUCAGCAGCAGCACAAAAUCAAACGUAAGAUUAUAACGUUCAUCAUCAACAUCCUUCAGUCAAAUGGGAUAAAAUGUUGCAAAAGAACAGGAAGUUUGUUCACCUAAAGCACACAAAAUGUUCUCAUAGUCAGUGAGAAAUGUGAUUGAAGAGGAAAGUGUGAUCUAAUUCAUGACUUCAUCGAACACAAUGCUGUUUAGUUAUAAAAAGAGCUUGAAAGAUAGAAACCGUUCCCGUAACUCAAACUACAUGUUUACCUCCCGCUUCCCCAACUCUGUCCUCCGUGGAGCUGGCGUUGAACUUGAGUCUGAGGAAAUACCCACUGAAAGCUUAGAUAGCAAACUGAUCUGUGUGCCAUUUUCUCUUAUAAUUACUGUAUCACAGAUCUCUGUUUUAUCAAUAACUGGAGCAGAUUCUUUUUCUGAUGAAAAAUGUUUUUUUGUGGUUAUUUUUCUUUCUAAAGAGACAAACCUCACUGCUUUAGUAACAGCUAACAAGCUUGUAUAGUCUGAUGUGUUUGAUUUCAUGUUCAUGAUCGAUGCUUAGUCCUGGCUGCCACAUCUCUGCUGUUAAAGACUCUGACACAAAAAGAGAAACAAGACACAGGUACACACAC